rnacentral:rRNA from 1 species
GAUCUUUACAUUUUAAUUAUUUGAUAAAAAUUAGUUAAAUUUAAGUUUAAAUUAUUAAAGUGUUAUAUUGGGGUAAUAAUAAAAUUUGAAGAAUUUUUAUUUAUUUUUAACAAUUAUUUUUGAUUAAUUGAUCCAAUAUUAUUGAUUAGAAAGUUAAGUUACCUUAGGGAUAACAGCAUAAUGAUUUUUGAGAGUUCUUAUUGAUAAAAUAGUUUGU